rnacentral:rRNA from 1 species
UACGUAGGGUGGCGAGCGUUGUCCGGAAUUAUUAGGGCGUUGAAAGAGCUCGUAGGUGGUCCGUCACGUCGGGUGGUGAAAACCCAGGGCUCAACCCUGGGCGUGCACUCGAUACGGGCGGACUAGAGUUCGGUAGGGGAGACUGGAAUUCCUGGUGUAGCGGUGAAAUGCGCAGAUAUCAGGAGGAACACCGGUGGCGAAGGCGGGUCUCUGGGCCGAUACUGACGCUGAGGAGCGAAAGCGUGGGGAGCGAACAGG